rnacentral:rRNA from 1 species
ACAUGCAGUCGAGCGGACCGACGGGAGCUUGCUCCCUUAGGUCAGCGGCGGACGGGUGAGUAACACGUGGGUAACCUGCCUGUAAGACUGGGAUAACUCCGGGAAACCGGGGCUAAUACCGGAUGCUUGAUUGAACCGCAUGGUUCAAUCAUAAAAGGUGGCUUUCAGCUACCACUUGCAGAUGGACCCGCGGCGCAUUAGCUAGUUGGUGAGGUAACGGCUCACCAAGGCGACGAUGCGUAGCCGACCUGAGAGGGUGAUCGGCCACACUGGGACUGAGACACGGCCCAGACUCCUACGGGAGGCAGCAGUAGGGAAUCUUCCGCAAUGGACGAAAGUCUGACGGAGCAACGCCGCGUGAGUGAUGAAGGUUUUCGGAUCGUAAAACUCUGUUGUUAGGGAAGAACAAGUACCGUUCGAAUAGGGCGGUACCUUGACGGUACCUAACCAGAAAGCCACGGCUAACUACGUGCCAGCAGCCGCGGUAAUACGUAGGUGGCAAGCGUUGUCCGGAAUUAUUGGGCGUAAAGCGCGCGCAGGCGGUUUCUUAAGUCUGAUGUGAAAGCCCCCGGCUCAACCGGGGAGGGUCAUUGGAAACUGGGGAACUUGAGUGCAGAAGAGGAGAGUGGAAUUCCACGUGUAGCGGUGAAAUGCGUAGAGAUGUGGAGGAACACCAGUGGCGAAGGCGACUCUCUGGUCUGUAACUGACGCUGAGGCGCGAAAGCGUGGGGAGCGAACAGGAUUAGAUACCCUGGUAGUCCACGCCGUAAACGAUGAGUGCUAANUGUUAGAGGGUUUCCGCCCUUUAGUGCUGCAGCAAACGCAUUAAGCACUCCGCCUGGGGGAGUACGGUCGCAAAAACUGAAACUC